AGCCACACUCUAGCCCAACCACCUCAACAAAUCCGAACAAUUAAAACCCAUUUGCUUCCUAAACUAAAACAUUCUCCCUAACUUAGUAUAGGCGAUAGAAAAGAACUCUUGGCGCCAUAGAGAGCACGUACCGUAAGGGAAAGAUGAAAUAGUAAUGAAAAUCUAAGCGAUAAACAGCAAAGAUCAGUCCUUAUACCUUUUGCAUCAUGGUUUAGCAAGAAUAACCAAGCAAAACGAAUUUAAGCUUGCCUCCCCGAAACCCAUGCGAGCUACUUACAAGCAGCUACCCAUGAGCGAACCCGUCUCUGUAGCAAAAGAGUGGGAUGACUUGUUAGUAGAGGUGAAAAUCCAACCGAGCUGGGUGAUAGCUGGUUGCCUGCGAAACGAAUAUAAGUUCUUCCCUAACCUCCCCUGCAGGACACUUACCCUAACCCUAAUGAGGCGGUCAGGAGUAAAUUAAAGGAGGUACAGCUCCUUUAAAAUGGGAUACAACCCCCUUUAGCGGAUAAUCAUUCCUCUCCCACCUGUCUUGUGGGCCUUCAAGCAGCCAUCAACAAAGAGUGCGUCAAAGCUCACUUAAAAAAAUCUACGUACAACAUGACUCCCUUCUCCAUAACAGGCCAACCUAUAACGAUAGGAGAAUUAAUGCUAAAAUGAGUAACUAGGGGACUCGCCCCUCUUAAGCGCAAACUUACAUCUUAACAUUAUUAACAGACCCACCAAUAUUCAAACUUCAACAAGACUGAAUAUUACCCCCCCCCUGUUACCCCGACUCAGGAGCGCUUGCUAGAAAGAUUUAAAUCUGUAAAAGGAACUAGGCAAACCCAAGGCCCGACUGUUUACCAAAAACAUAGCCUUUAGCAAAUCAAGUAUUAAAGGUGAUGCCUGCCCAGUGACAUUACGUUCAACGGCCGCGGUAUCCUAACCGUGCGAAGGUAGCGCAAUCAAUUGUCCCAUAAAUCGAGACUUGUAUGAAUGGCUAAACGAGGUCUUAACUGUCUCUUACAGAUAAUCAGUGAAAUUGAUCUUCCCGUGCAAAAGCGAGAAUAACCACAUAAGACGAGAAGACCCUGUGGAACUUAAAAAUCACUAGCCAUAACCCACCAAAUCAAAACCUACCAGGCCCACUGGACCAAAAUUACUGGCUUAUAUUUUUCGGUUGGGGCGACCUUGGAGAAAAACUCAACCUCCAAAAAUAAGACCUCACUUCUUAACUAAGAGCAACCCCUCAACGUGCUAACAGCAACCUGACCCAAUAUAAUUGAUCAAUGGACCAAGCUACCCCAGGGAUAACAGCGCAAUCUCCUCCAAGAGCCCAUAUCGACAAGGAGGUUUACGACCUCGAUGUUGGAUCAGGACAUCCUAAUGGUGCAGACGCUAUUAAGGGUUCGUUUGUUCAACGAUUAAUAGUCCUACGUGAUCUGAGUUCAGACCGGAGCAAUCCAGGUCGGUUUCUAUCUAUGACUAGCUCUUCCUAGUACGAAAGGACCGGAAGAGCGAGGCCUACGCUACAAGCAAGCCUCCUCCCUAAAUAAUGAACCCAACUAAAUUAUCAAGGGAUCACCACACACAUAUCCUAGAAAAGGAUC
rnacentral:rRNA from 1 species